rnacentral:SRP_RNA from 1 species
AUGUGCUAAGCGGGGAGUUAGCGGUGCCCUGUUACCCGGAAUCCGCUACACCGGGGCUGAAUUCCCACCCGAGGCUUGAAACGGUUUAUGUUUUCAACGCAAGUGGUGUUGAUGGUCGGGUCCCGCACAAUCGAAGAUCACCCAACCCCGUCAGGACCGGAAGGUAGCAGCGGCAAGUGAACCCUCGAUGUGUUGCGGGGAAGCUCGAUCUGAGCUAACUACGAUGAAGCAUAUUCAGGUGGAGGGUCGGAGGUGGGUGCACAA